GCCGGGUGUGGUGGCGCAUGCCUGUAAUCCCAGUUACUAAGGAGGCUGAGGCAGGAGAAUUGCUUGAACCCAGGAGGUGGAGUUGCAUUGAGUUGUGAUUGUGCCACUGCACUCCAGCCUGGGUGACAGAGUGAGACUAUGUCUCAA
ensembl:misc_RNA Metazoa_SRP Metazoan signal recognition particle RNA